UGACCGGGAAGUGGUUGAUGCCAUGCUUCCAGGAAAAUCUUCUAAGCUUCAGGUUAUAAGGAACCGUACCCCAAACCGACACAGGUGGUUGGGAUGAGUAUUCUAAGGCGCUUGAGAGAACUCGGGUGAAGGAACUAGGCAAAAUUGUACCGUAACUUCGGGAGAAGGUACGCCGCUGACGGUGACGAGACUUGCUCUCUGAGCUAUUGGCGGUCGCAGUGAAAAGGCCCCUGCAACUGUUUAUUAAAAACACAGCACUCUGCAAACGCGUAAGCGGACGUAUAGGGUGUGACGCCUGCCCGGUGCCGGAAGGUUAAUUGAUGGGGUUAGCUUCGGCGAAGCUCUUGAUCGAAGCCCCGGUAAACGGCGGCCGUAACUAUAACGGUCCUAAGGUAGCGAAAUUCCUUGUCGGGUAAGUUCCGACCUGCACGAAUGGCGUAAUGAUGGGGGCGCUGUCUCCACCCGAGACUCAGUGAAAUCGAAAUCGCAGUGAAGAUGCUGUGUACCCGCGGCUAGACGGAAAGACCCCGUGAACCUUUACUAUAGCUUCACAGUGGACUUUGAACCUGCUUGUGUAGGAUAGCUGGGAGACUUUGAAGCGGUGACGCUAGUCAUCGUGGAGUCGUCCUUGAAAUACCAGCCUGGCAUGUUUGAGGUUCUAACCUAGGUCCAUUAUCUGGAUCGGGGACAUUGUGUGGUGGGUAGUUUGACUGGGGCGGUCUCCUCCCAAAGAGUAACGGAGGAGCACAAAGGUACCCUCAGCACGGUCGGACAUCGUGCAACGAGCGUAAAGGUAGAAGGGUGCUUGACUGCGAGACCUACAAGUCGAGCAGGUGCGAAAGCAGGUCUUAGUGAUCCGGUGGUUCUGUAUGGAAGGGCCAUCGCUCAACGGAUAAAAGGUACUCCGGGGAUAACAGGCUGAUACCGCCCAAGAGUUCAUAUCGACGGCGGUGUUUGGCACCUCGAUGUCGGCUCAUCUCAUCCUGGGGCUGAAGCCGGUCCCAAGGGUAUGGCUGUUCGCCAUUUAAAGAGGUACGCGAGCUGGGUUUAGAACGUCGUGAGACAGUUCGGUCCCUAUCUGCCGUGGGCGUUGGAGAUUUGAGAGGAGCUGCUCCUAGUACGAGAGGACCGGAGUGGACGAACCUCUGGUGUUCCGGUUGUCACGCCAGUGGCAUUGCCGGGUAGCUACGUUCGGACGGGAUAACCGCUGAAAGCAUCUAAGCGGGAAGCCUCCCUCAAGAUGAGAUCUCCCUGGGAACUUGAUUCCCCUGAAGGGCCGUUGAAGACCACAACGUUGAUAGGCUGGGUGUGGAAGCGUUGUAAGGCGUGAAGCUAACCAGUACUAAUUGCCCGUGAGGCUUGACUAUAUAACACCAAAGCAGU
rnacentral:rRNA from 1 species